rnacentral:rRNA from 1 species
GAUGAACGCUGGCGGCGUGCCUAAUACAUGCAAGUCGAGCGAACAGUCCAGGAGCUUUGUCCUCCGGCGUCGUCGCCCGACGGAUGCGUAACUCGUGGUUAACCUACCUAUCCGACUGGGAUGACUUCGCGAAACCGUGGCUAAUACCCAAUAAUAUAUCGACCCUCGUUGGGCAAUAGUGAAAUACGGUAGUUCUGUGGCUAAUAGCCUGAUACGCGCCUCAUUAGCUAGUGGGCAAGGAAAAGGCUUACCAACGCUACGAUGCGUAACCGCCCUGAGAGGGUGAUCCGCCACCCUGGAACUGAGAAACGGCCCAGACACCUGCGGUAGGCAGCAGUAGAGAAUCUUACGCAAUGGGCGAAAGCGUGACGGAGGACCGCCGGGGGAGGGAUGAAGCUCUUAGGACCGGAAAACGCUGAUGUUAGUGAAGAUCUAAUGUGCUAGUAACUAUGCACGUAUUGACGGUACCGGAUCAAUAAGCUACGGCUAACUACGUG